CAAUAGCGUAUAUUAAAGUUGUUGCAGUUAAAAAGCUCGUAGUUGAAUUUCUGGCGGGCGCGCCGGUCUUCCAAGUGUUGUACUGGGCGCAGUCCGCCAUCCUUGUGGAGAGGGCUCGCAUUGAGUUGCGUGUCGGAUCUGCAUCAUUUACUGUGAAAAAAUUAGAGUGUUUAAAGCAGGCUGUCGCUUGAAUACAUUAGCAUGGAAUAAUAAGAUAGGACUUCGGUCUAUUUUGUUGGUUGCGAACCGAGGUAAUGAUUAAUAGGGAUAGUUGGGGGUAUUCAUAUUCAAUUGUCAGAGGUGAAAUUCUUGGAUUUAUGGAAGAUGAACUACUGCGAAAGCAUUUACCAAGGAUGUUUUCAUUAA
rnacentral:rRNA from 1 species